CCUACGGGUGGCAGCAGUGGGGAAUAUUGGACAAUGGGCGAAAGCCUGAUCCAGCCAUGCCGCGUGUGUGAAGAAGGCCUUCGGGUUGUAAAGCACUUUCAGUGGGGAAGAAAGCCUUGGGGCUAAUACCCUCGAGGAAGGACAUCACCCACAGAAGAAGCACCGGCUAACUCCGUGCCAGCAGCCGCGGUAAUACGGAGGGUGCGAGCGUUAAUCGGAAUUACUGGGCGUAAAGCGCGCGUAGGCGGUCUGAUAAGCCGGUUGUGAAAGCCCCGGGCUCAACCUGGGAACGGCAUCCGGAACUGUCAGGCUAGAGUGCAGGAGAGGAAGGUAGAAUUCCCGGUGUAGCGGUGAAAUGCGUAGAGAUCGGGAGGAAUACCAGUGGCGAAGGCGGCCUUCUGGACUGACACUGACGCUGAGGUGCGAAAGCGUGGGUAGCAAACAGGAUCAGAUACCCCAGUAGUC
rnacentral:rRNA from 1 species